GACGAACGCUGGAGGCGUGCUUAACACAUGCAAGUCGAACGAUGAAAUGGAGCUUGCUCCAUGGAUUAGUGGCGAACGGGUGAGUAACACGUGAAUAACCUGCCCUUAAUUUUGGAAUAACCCAGGGAAACCUGGGCUAAUACCGGAUAAGUAAACCUGUGGCAUCACAUGGUUUUGGAAAGUUUUUCGAUUAAGGAUGGAUUCGCGGCCUAUCAGCUUGUUGGUGAGGUAAUGGCUCACCAAGGCGGCGACGGGUAGCCGGCCUGAGAGGGUGAACGGCCACACUGGGACUGAGACACGGCCCAGACUCCUACGGGAGGCAGCAGUGGGGAAUAUUGCGCAAUGGACGAAAGUCUGACGCAGCGACGCCUCGUGAGGGACGAAGGUCUUCGGAUUGUAAACCUCUUUCAGCAGGGACAAAGCGAAAGUGACGGUACCUGCAGAAGAAGCACCGGCUAACUAUGUGCCAGCAGCCGCCGUAA
rnacentral:rRNA from 1 species